rnacentral:rRNA from 1 species
CCUACGGGAGGCAGCAGUGAGGAAUAUUGGUCAAUGGACGAGAGUCUGUACCAGCCAAGUAGCGUGAAGGAUGACUGCCCUAUGGGUUGUAAACUUCUUUUAUAUGGGAAUAAAAUGUUCCACGUGUGGGAUUUUGUAUGUACCAUAUGAAUAAGGAUCGGCUAACUCCGUGCCAGCAGCCGCGGUAAUACGGAGGAUCCGAGCGUUAUCCGGAUUUAUUGGGUUUAAAGGGAGCGUAGGUGGAUUGUUAAGUCAGUUGUGAAAGUUUGCGGCUCAACCGUAAAAUUGCAGUUGAAACUGGCAGUCUUGAGUACAGUAGAGGUGGGCGGAAUUCGUGGUGUAGCGGUGAAAUGCUUAGAUAUCACGAAGAACUCCGAUUGCGAAGGCAGCUCACUGGACUGCAACUGACACUGAGGCUCGAAAGUGUGGGUAUCAAACAGGAUUAGAUACCCCAGUAGUC